rnacentral:rRNA from 1 species
GACGAACGCUGGCGGCGUGCCUAAUACAUGCAAGUAGGACGCUGAAGGAGGAGCUUGCUUCUCUGGAUGAGUUGCGAACGGGUGAGUAACGCGUAGGUAACCUGCCUGGUAGCGGGGGAUAACUAUUGGAAACGAUAGCUAAUACCGCAUAAUAGUAGAUGUUGCAUGACAUUUGCUUAAAAGGUGCAAUUGCAUCACUACCAGAUGGACCUGCGUUGUAUUAGCUAGUUGGUGGGGUAACGGCUCACCAAGGCGACGAUACAUAGCCGACCUGAGAUGGUGAUCGGCCACACUGGGACUGAGACACGGCCCAGUGUCCUACGGGAGGCAGCAGUAGGGAAUCUUCGGCAAUGGACGGAAGUCUGACCGAGCAACGCCGCGUGAGUGAAGAAGGUUUUCGGAUCGUAAAGCUCUGUUGUAAGAGAAGAACGAGUGUGAGAGUGGAAAGUUCACACUGUGACGGUAUCUUAACAGAAAGGGACGGCUAACUACGUG